AUGGAGAAGUCUAGAUUUUCAGGCAAUAGUUUACCAUGUGGCUUAAAUUCCAGCCCUGCCAUGCAAACAAGAGAAAGAGGAGGAGACCAUGUUUCAGACAGCAAGUCCCAAGCCACCACAAACCUUAAAGAGACAGCGUGUCUCGAGGAGGAAAGGAAGAAAGAAAAUAAAGGCAUAAAACAUGAAGCAGGCUGUGCUAAACAAACCCGGAAGUGUCCAUUUGAGGCCUAUUUAGUAAAGUGCACACAAUUAGAGAAGGAAAACCUAGAGGUUAAAAAGAAGCUUAAAAAGAUGGAGAAAUAUUCCAGAGAAUGCAAAUCAGAGCGGCAGAGAUUUGUGGAGAGGUUUAAAGAGUUUAAAAACAUCAACAAAGACCUGGACACAACGAACAAACAACUUCUCAUUAAAAACCAGCAAAUGAGGCAAAGAAUUACAGAGGUCUUAAAGCAGAACGGACUUCAGUCUGAAGAUCUGGAGACCGUCUCGUGCAGUGAACACCGGGAGAAGCAGCAACUAAGAGAAACACUCGUUGUUCUCCAAGACCAGGGAAAGAACUUAACCGAACCAGUCAGGGAAUCUCAAAGAAUGAAACGGGAUUCAGAAAUAGUCGAAGCGAGGAAGAUAACGCAGCUUCAACAGGAAAACCAGACUCUAAGAGAGAGACUGGACCACAGCAGUCAGGUCAUAAAAGAUGCUGAAAGUAGAGCAGAGAGAGUUGAGGAGCAGCUGGAUGAAGCAGAAUGUUGCCUGCUCACUGUAGAGACUGAGAGGAAUCUACUGCGUCAGGAAGUAAAGAGACUCCAUCAGGAAUAUAUCAGCCUUACUAACAGCAUCUCACUGCAGCUGAAAGGAAACAACAAAGCUGCCGCUCUCGGGAAACCCCACCACAGCACAGCACAGUCCACCACCUCAGCAUCCUAUAACAGGAGACAUAACGUGGCAGAUAAAGGUUCAAUUUGAAGACAUACAACCAAGGAGAAAUAGAAAAUACCUUGGACAAAUAUCUGGGAAUGUUACUGAGACAGCUAUUAUGCACACACACACAAACACACACACACACACACACACACACACAUAUAUAUAUAUAUAUAUAUAUAUAUAUAUAUAUAUAUAUAUAUAUAUAUAUAUAUAUAUAUAUAUAUAUAUAU
rnacentral:lncRNA from 1 species